rnacentral:rRNA from 1 species
UACGGAGGGUGCGAGCGUUGUCCGGAAUCACUGGGCGUAAAGGGCGCGUAGGCGGCCUGAUAAGUAGGGGGUGAAAUCCUGCGGCUUAACCGCAGGGCUGCCUUCUAAACUGUCGGGCUAGAGCACGGUAGAGGCAGAUGGAAUUCCCGGUGUAGCGGUGGAAUGCGUAGAGAUCGGGAAGAACAUCAGUGGCGAAGGCGGUCUGCUGGGCCGUUGCUGACGCUGAGGCGCGCAGCGUGGGGGAGCAAACAGG